GGCAGAACGUACUAGGGCAAAAGAUAGUUUUAAACACUCAACCUGAAUCCGCAGUAUCGGAUUACAUCGAAGGGAAGCGUUUUUUUAUACCGGAUUGGGAUGUUGUUUACACUACACCAUAGUAAUCCGGUACGUGAUACGGAGCAAAAAUCAUUCCCCUUUGGAGGUGAUAUGAAAAGUGAUCUGGUACAGUGUAAACGGGGCCUUCGUCUGGCUUCUUUGCCGUCUGCAAUAAAACGAAAUAAACGAAAUUUUGUAUUUCGAAUAAAACGAAGUUUGUAAUAAAAAGUCAAGAAAAAGGUGUUAGACUUUUCACUUCUUCAAACGCAGCGUCUGAUAAAAUUCUCAGACUGUCAAUCAUAAAUUAGAACGCACUCUAGCGUCAUGCUGUCGUACAUAGAAUACUAUAUUUACAUGCGAGUUUUUACUUUUUUUUCGAUAAUAGUCGUGUGUUGUUCAGAAUAUUUGUUGGUCGGACAUUUAUCAAAUUUAGUCGGACGUUUACCGAUGUCCGACAGUAGUUUGCAGCACAAAAUCCAAAAAAUAAGUGCUGCCGGAGUUUUGCCGGAGCUGAACAAACUCCGGCUCCGGCAAAUAGGCCAAAACUCCGGCUCCGGCUCCGGCACUCCGGCUCCGGUGCACAGCACUAUCCGGCUGGUACAUCUACGGUACUGAUUAUGGCUGUUGUGGCAAUUACAAAGGAUGUUGUAAACGUGCUUCUUGGUUUUGUUAUGCACAUGAUAUCGCGUGCAAAUGUUGUCAACAUGGCAAAGUCAUUUGUGGACCUACAUGUAGAAAAGAUCCAUCAUGCAAG
rnacentral:lncRNA from 1 species